AUUCAAUCCAGUGGUUAUCUCAGACAAGCAUUUUUCCGUUUUACAUGCAUUUGAAUAGGUGGUACCAGUUAGGGUGGUAGAAACAUUUAUUGCCAAUGAUAUGAAUGGUGGGGGCAAAGCCCCCUACAUGGCACUUGGGUGCUCUCUUACUAUGAGAAGGCACCCUUACAAAGCGAAGGAGAGCCCUUGAAGCGCAAUCCUUCUUACUGCACUGGAGAUGAUCGGGCACUGGCCUUAAGCGAAAGUGCAGGUCAGAAGAGUCUCCCAGUAAGACACCGCCACGGCAGGUGAUGGGGGAUGAGGGAAGGUGGGCCAUGUGAGGAGGGUGUGUAGGAAGUCUCUUGGUUUGGCGCAAAGUUUGCAUGUUGAGUGGAGUCGGUCUGGGUAUCGGGCAUGUAGCAGUAUGGGGCAUGAAGCAGUCCGAGUUUGUAGUCGUCGCCAGUGUGCGGCCUGCUCUAUGGUGAGGGAUGGGCCUUGGGGCGUGUUUUCCCUUUGUUUGUCCCGGUAUUACGAGCGAAUAUAACGGAAGGAGAGCACGCACUCCCCAGCCCGUAGAGAGGGCUCGGGUCCCACUGCCUGGAAUGUUAGACCUCGGGCCAAAGAGUGAGCCUCCUCGUUGCCGGGGAGGCCGGCAUGUGCUGGCGUCCAGAUUAGGGUUAUGCGGCGCCGAGGCUGCCAGAAGCGUAGUAAGCACAGAGAGGUGCGGGAUAUGUAGCCAUUGGCAUAGUUGAGAAUGGCGGAUUUGGAGUCAGUGAUAAUUUUGGUGGCAGAUGUAGAGAUGAGAGCAAGCGCGAUGGCUGCUUCUUCUGCCUCUGUGGUGGAAUUGGGGAUGAUUGAGCUGGAGGUUAGGAGCUUUGCUUGGUUGUCGGCUACCACCAGGGCCAUACGGGAGUCUGAUGUAUAUUCCGCUGCGUCCACAUAGACCACCUCAUGGUCCUCGCCAUACUGUUUGUGGAGGGCCCAAGCCCUUGCUAUUCUGCGGUUCCCGUCUCGCUCAGGAUUCAUGUUCUUGGGGACAGCGGGUAUGUUGAGGUUAGAGCGGAGGAUAGGAGAAAGGGGGACCUCCUCGGUAGGGUGUGUAAUUUGGAUUAGGCUUGAUUCGGAUAACCGAGUGCGGCCAGCCUCUGAGUUAGACAGAUGGGAUAUUUGUGCCGUAAAGAUGGCUUCUCUGAGUUCCUCAAAGGUGUUGUGGACACCGAGCUUGAGGAGUCAGUGAUUGGAUGUGCUGGGAGGAAGGCAUAGAGCUGCUUUCGUGCAACUCCGUAGGAGCGCGUUUACCUGAGCUCUCUCCUGUUGAAGGGGUAAGUACGGAAGAGCAUGUGCGGUGCGGCUUAUUAUAUAAGCCUGGGUGAGACGAGGCGUGUUUCCCUGGCGUAAGCCAGCCCGGUGGUUCGCUAUGCGGCGAAUCAGUCGGGUGGUCUGUUGAGCGAGUGUUUGGAGAGUCUUUAUGACUUUAUGCCAUGAGAGUGGAUAACUAGCCCUAGCACUCAGAUCUUGUAUACUAGUGGGAUGGGGUGUGUACCUAGCAUCAGAGUGGUGGGAGGAAUGACUGAAUCAUGUUGCCUGUGGCGGUAGAGAAAGAGCUCCGAUUUUGCGGGGAGCAGGUCAGGUCACGCUCUCGUACAUAUGUCGAUGAUGGUUACUGCCAAUUGUAGGUGUUGCUCUAUUUCAGCAUCACUGCCUCGGUUUGUCCAGACAGUGAUGUCGUCGGCGUAGAGGCUGAAGUGGAUGUCAGGGAUUUGAGCUAGUUGUUGGGGUAGGUGAAGGAGUGCUAUAUUGAAUAACAUAGGGGAAAGAACGGCUCCCUGGGGCGUACCUCGUGCCCCGAGUGUGAUACCUGGGAGGCGGUGGUCAUCAAAAGUAAGUGUGGCUGUGCGGUGGCUGAGGAAGUCUCGGAUCUAGUUGUACAUCCUGGCGCCGACUCCUAAGGUUGUAAGGUUUUGUAGGAUAGCCGAGUGUGUAACGUUGUCGAAUGCCUUAGUUAGAUCCACACCUAUGAUAGCUUUGGUGUCGGUUUGGGAAUCUAGAAUGUGAUGUUUUAGCUGUAGGAAGACGUCCUGUGUGGAAAGUCCAGAAGGAAAUCCAAACAUGCAGGUGGGCAUCAGAUCAUUGCUUUCUAGGUAACGGCAGAGCCUGGUCUGGAGUACGUGUUCUAUCACUUUGCCCACCGAAGAUGUCAGAGAGAUGGGUCUGACGUUAGAGGUGAGCAGAGGUUUCCCGGGUUUAGGUAUGAAAACGACUUUGGCCUCUUUCUAUUGCAGUGGGACAGUGCCCUUUUGCCAGCACCCGUUAAAGUAUUCGGUAAGGGCCGUAAUGGAUUCGGCGUCAAGAUACCGGAGUGCCUUGUUAUGUACCACGUCUGGAUCAGGGGUUGAGGACGUGUUAAGUCUCUGGAGUUCAGCCUUAACUUCUGCUUCUGUAAUGGGUUGGUCGAGGAAGUUGUUAGGGGGGCCUGCAUAGUCGGGGUAUGUUAAAGGAGGGUGUGUGGGGAAGUACAGACUUCGAAGUUCUUGGAGGAGUUCCAAUGGAGGUGUAUCAGAAGUAUGUAUGAGUUUGGUGAGGUUGUGUCUUUGUGUAGUCUUAGACUGUGUGGACUCUAUUAAGUGUCUAAAGAGGUUCCAGGUCUGAGGUAAACUUAUAUUGCCAUCUAGCUUGUUGCCUCGUGACUCCCAGUUUUGUCAUGAAAGAAUUUCUGCGUGUGUCUCUAUCUCUUUGUUGAGACGGGCGAGGCGGCGUCUAAGUGUCCGGUUUCAACGCUGCCUUUGCCAGCAUCGUUCUAGGCCUGCUCUAGCUUCCCAUAAAUGUAGGAGGCGGGAGUCAACUGUGUCGCUGGGGUAGUCCUCCCAUAGGGGAUGAGUUAUGGAUCGGACAAUACUUUAUAGUUUGAACCACUCGGUGAUGUCCUUGAUGGGGGCGGAGGUGCAGGCUGCUCUACAUGAUUGGAAAGAAUCCUACUUCGUGAAAGUGGAGCCUCUGGGAGGUCUGUGGGGUAGUUCAAUGUUUAAGAGAAUUUCGAUGAUGCAAUGCUCACUACCCAAAUUCUCUUAUGUGUUGCAUCAUGUGGCGUGAGGGAGGCGAUGUGCGAACGUAAGGUCUGGAGUAGUGUCUCUACAGACGCUGGUUCCCAUGCGUGAAGGAGAGGUAGGGUCGGUGAGUAGGGAGAGACCGGCUUGCUGCACUGCUAACCACACCUGACGGCCUUUCAGUGUGUCAUUUGGGUAACCCCAGGCCGUAUGCGGGGCAUUAAAGUCUCCUACAAUGAGUAAGGGGCACUUGUUUGCUAUGUGCAUCGCAAGUGUAAAGAAGCGUUCGAAGUUGCUUUGUAGGCACUUUGGGUGGCUAUAUACAUGUAGGAUAAAGAGACUGUUCGUUCGAGCGUGUUGCGGCACAAGCUCAAUUAAAAGGUGAUCAAUGUCUUGAAUCGCUAGGGUAUGGGAGAUGGUGGUGAUUGAGCGACUAACUAGAAAUGCUACCCAGGAGAGUAGGGGGGAUGUGGGCAGAAUAGGAGUAUAGCCAGGGAGGGUAAGUGAGUUAGAGGGUUCCUGCAGGGCAAGGAUGUCGGGCCCCGUUGUGCAGAACAGCAGUUGGCGGACCAUGACGCUUCUGGCGAAAGCCCCGGCAGUUCCACUGCCAGAGUGUAAGAUUACAGUUUGGAGCUGCCAUCAUGAGAGUCGAUAGGAGGGGAAGGAAUAACGGGGGAGUGGGAGUCGUGAGUUAUGGCAGGCAUAGGGUUGUCCUUUCCUUCUGUUGCUUUAGCCUUCUUACGUCUAUUUGGGGUGGAGUCCCGCUUCAGGAGGGCGGUUGAGUAAGAAUUGAGCCGGCACUCAAGAUCGCUACGACGGUCAGAGAAUCGUUGGGUUAGCACAUCUAAUUGUUGGUUAAAAGCAGUAUUGUCUUGUGUUAUGUGGAUUAUCACGUUUCUGAGGGUUGCACAUUCCUGGUUGAUGUGAGUAAUAGUGUCCUGCAAUUUUGCCUCAAAGCAAGCAGCGAAGGACUGAAGCAGGGUUGGAAUGCCGUCUCGUGAGGUAGUGGUGAAGGGAGUGGGUGCUGUGCAUGGGGUUGAAUUUGCAGAGGGUUCCAUGUCAGCCUCCAUUGCUAGCAAAUCAGGAGAUGAAGUAGGGUUGGAGGUGGGAGGCUGGGAUGUGGCAGGAGCGGUUGCCGGUGGAAUGGGAGAUCCAGACGCAAGAGCACUUAUCUGGGUUUCCAGUUUGGCUAUAUGUUGAAGGGCGGCGUCUUCUUUCCAUGCCGCUGUAGCAUCUGCUUUGGCCGCCGCUGCCUCCUCCUGGGAUUUUGCAAGGGCGUGUUGUAGAUCGGGAGUUGCUGUCAUGGAUGGCAUGUGCUGGUAAGAAGAGAGGGCAGUGUCUCAGGCUUGCUUCCACGGCGCUGCCCAGGCUUGCUUGUGUUGGUUGGGCGACAACAGGGGAAAAUUGUCCCCGGAUGUGACCAAUUCUUGAUGCUGCGUUUGUGGGUUGCUCGGUUGUUUCGUUGUUUCCAUGUCUGAUGACGGUUUCAUCCCUUGCACGAUCCCGUGCCAGUAAGGUGAGGGCCCUCGCACAGAAUGCACUUAGGUGUGCAAGGAGGUUCUUGUUGAGGACGUUGUGCUGCACAGCGGGGACAAAGAUUGGUCUUGGGGCUUGGGCAAGCGUCAUGACGGUGACCUGGUUGUCCGCAAUUUGUACAGGCAUCCGGACUGCCGCGGUAUUGGGUGCAGCGGUGGAUGGCUCCCAUCUAUUUGAUGGAGUUCGGGACUGCGCUUGCGUCGAAGGUGAUUAGGAUGGAGUGCGUCUUUCCCAUGCGUCUGGCUGCUAAUAUGGUGUGCUCUGGAUUUGUUCUGACCAGGUCUUGGUAGAGUUGCGUUGGGGUCUCGUCGUCAUAGGCGUUUGUGAGGACUCCUCUGGUAGCCCCCGGUGGAGGUGCCAUGUGAGCUGCGCGCGGGUAGGUUCGGUCGAUCUCCAAUGGUGGGGUAGGUUGGCGUCUUCAGAGUCUCGGCUGUUGGGAAAUUUGUUGUUGCCAUGGUGAAAGUAUUGUUGGUCGGGUAGAUGCGUAAGCAGAAGUUGUCCGGUAGAGUGAUUUGGAUUUGUGUCUGCACUGCCUUCCUGAGUCGACGUGUUGGAAUGUCUAGAGUCGCACUUCACCUCGCGGGUGAACGACCACUCUAAGAGCGUUGGGCGGGAGCGGCGGCAGUUACUUCCUGCGUUACACUAUACAGACGGCAGUCCGUCCAGGCAGCCUACCAAACACAACAGGAUCUGCAGCAGUCACUUUGUAAAUGGCGAGAAGUCGGACGAUAAGAGAAGCCCCGUCUAUCUACCAACCUUGCUUCCAUGUGUGUACAGGUCCACUAAUGUUGCUACUGCACACAGGUAUGAAAGGCUCCGGUCACGUGAGCAGCACAAACAACCCACAUGGCGCUGUGUGUUGCCAGUUCCUGAUGACCAAGAAUGCGGUGCUGUGACUACAGAGCACACCAGGGUAGGAACGCAGACAGACCCUUGCACAUAAUUCUCGGAGGUGGACAUAUGCCAAGCCUGUUCUCUUGUUGUUUAAAGGAAUGCGAAGCUGAGAUGCAGGUUGUUGUGCCCUGCAAGAAAUAAAGCAAGGGUGCAUCAUGGGGAACAUCCUACGACGUCAAGGAUGCUGCAUGUGACGCUGUGAACAUCGAACACACUAUCUCGAUCCCAGGCUUCCGCAGUUGCGCCAGUGUGUCAUCCUGCCCCAGUGAAAAAGCUUCUGACAUUCUGAAGGGUAUUACUGGGGUUUCACAGAGUGUUUUUAUAAAGCUGCAGGGCAUUCUAGCUCAGGCGCUCAAUGUUAAGGGGAAAGAGGAAACCACAAAUGCUUCAAACAAAUUGCUUAUCCUUUUGAUGAAACUAAAACUAAACUUGUCGUACUCAUCCUUGGCAGCGUUUUUUUGUUUCCACAGAACCACAGGUUAAAGACAUUUUCUGCUGAUCAUUGCCAUUCUCCAUGCAAAAAUGCGGCCAGUACUUUACUGGUCAUCAGGGUCAACCAUACAGCUGAUGAUGCCUUACUGCUUCAAGCCCGACUAUGUAAACUGCAGCGUUGUCAUCGACAAGCACGCACAGCCCAUGAGAAAGUGCUCACGUAUUCCAGCUACAAAGGAACCUACACUGUGAAAUUCCUUGUAGGAAUAACAUCAAUAAGGCAUCAUAAGCUAUGUGUCAAGGCCUCAUGGUGGCUGUGCCACCGACUCUCUCAUCACAUCUGACUGUGGCAUAUUGCGCAUGCUUGAGCCAGGGGACCUUGUGCUUGCUGACAAGGGCUUUCCUCCAAUCAGGAGUGCUCUUGUGGAGCGAGGAGUUAAAUUUCAGAUGCCAAACUUUACACGACCGAAUGAGCCUUUCACGCGUGAGGAGGUUCUGAGCAUAUAAGGUAUUGUGCAAAAAUACAUGUUGAGCGAUGCAUACAGCGUAUGAAGCUUUUCGGUAUAUUGUCAGAAAGACAUUCUGCUGAUCUACUUCAUUGGCAAAAUCAUUGACGUGUGCAGUGCUGGCACAUUUGCAGGCUCCAAUUAUGAAAGACAAAGAUUAGUGGGCAUGCAACAAAAGUAUAGUGUCGCUUCUCUAAUGGUGCCUUAGCCCAUAUUCGCAAAAUCUUUUUUACUCAGCGCUACAUCUUGUCCCCGCAGAGGGUAAGAAACACUCUACCGCCCCUCACGGUUCGCUACAUUUCAGAGUUACAAUAAUCCAGAAGAAAGGUGCUUAACCGAGGGGUCAAUUUUUAUUAGUGACAUCAUAAGAAGCCAACAAACACUGACACCAAGGGCAACAUAGGGGAAAUUACUUGUGCUUAAUAAAUGAAAUAAAGAAACCAUAAAUAAUGAAAAUUAAAAUGGAUGAAAAAACAACUUGCGGCUGGUAGGAACCGAACCCACAACCUUUGCAAAAAGUAUUUUAUAUAUGCUAGGAGGCAUUCCAAUUCAAGAGUGAAUUGUGAGUAAUGGCCUUAAUCGGAUGUCAUACCUAUUUAUAUGGGCUUUAGCCUGAUGUGUAUACCUCUGCGAAAACUAAGCUGUACUGAAUAGUUGCAUGUUUAUCACUAGGGCAUCAAGCUGCAAGCUAUAAUAUGCUUCUUUAUCCUAAUUGUUCAGUGCUUGUGGGACAUGUGCAGAGAACGUGGUCACCAAAUUGAAGUGAUGCAUUAUGUAGCAUAUGCACGUGAAACUAGUUUGUAGCAUUUGUGUUCGAGCCUGCUUAGCUAUUCAUCUUGUGAAUUCGUAAGUUGUUUCACAACUUGUUUUGCUCACUGUGAGUUGGAAUUGUUUUUCGCAGUACUUCUGUAACAGAUUUUAUUGACUUUGCAAAUGUUUGUGAAGACCAUUUGGAAUUUAUGCAGCUGUGCAACAACACUGAACUUCCUUUGUUUCAUCUUCUCGUUAUGCUGCCUUGUUCAUGGUAGUGCACGUAAAUGUGCAAGCAUUUAUACAGCUUUGAAAUUUGUGACAAUGCAACACAUAUUAUGAUGUUCGCAUCAAUGUAAAGGUUGACCAACUAGUAAUGUGACAAAGUAUGAUGUGAUGUGCAGCAAGUGAAAAACAGAAAACAUUUGUUUUGAUCUGAA